rnacentral:rRNA from 1 species
CGGGCAGGUGGUCCGUUAAGUCGUCUGUGAAAAUCCGGGGCUCAACCCCGUGAAAUGCAGGCGAUACUGGCGGACUGGAGAUCGGUAGAGGCUAGCGGAAUUCCUGGUGUAGCGGUGGAAUGCGUAGAUAUCAGGAAGAACACCCGUGGCGAAGGCGGCUAGCUGGGCCGAGUCUGACACUCAUCCGCGAAAGCGUGGGGAGCAAACA